GCAGAAGUAAAGUGAGACUGGGAGGUUCAAUCUCACUGGAGAGCUGUCACUCACUAUUGACGCCUUUUCCUCUCUGUGGUGUGGGGAUCAAACCCAGGCCCUUCAUAUAUGUACACUACACUCUACCAAUGAGCAACACGCCCAGCCCAACACAGAAUCCUUGGAUCUUGCUUUCCUUCCACAUCUGUCUUCUUCUGGGGCUCUAAUCCUCACCCAGAGGGCACACAGGUUGCUUGGUUGUGGUUUGAAGCAUUUGGAGCUUAGAUGACCCAGUGCUACAAGGAAGUGGCUAGUGACUAGGAUAGCUGUGUUCUUCCCCAGUUCGUCUGUUUUCUAAGCAUCUUUGACUCCCUAGUCAGGGGCCAACUGUGAAGAAGCAGCGUCUCCUCUAAAAUAACACUGGCCCUCUGCUGACCCUGGGGUGCCCCCACUUGUGGUAAAAUGUACACCUUCCAACAGAUGCUAGUCCAGUGCUGGCGGCUAGACCUCACGGCUCCAUGAAGCCUUGUGUUUACCCCACCUCUGUGGCUCUCGUGUUUUCUAAUCUAGUUGCAGUGCCUGGGUUUGUAGGCUUUCUGGGCACAACUGCCCCCACAUGAUGGGACAGAUUGUUU
rnacentral:lncRNA from 1 species